rnacentral:lncRNA from 1 species
UAGUUUUGAGGCACCUUGCUACUAAUCUUUCAGUGAUAAGCUUCUUUAGAUACAGAAUAAGUUGGACCUUGUGAGUCAAUGCCCCUUCAAAUUAUUCGUGCUUAAGUGCCAUUAGAUUUUAAACUUUUGGGAGAGUUGUUGUAUGUGUACCUAUGUUGGACUACAACUGCUAGCACAUUUGCUUUUCUUUUUUCUUUCCUUCAAAAAACUAAGUAGCUAAGCAAAGAGUUGGUGCUUAUCUUGUUGAAUAAGG